GGACGAACGCUGGCGGCGUGCUUAACACAUGCAAGUCGAACGCUGAAGCUUGGUGCUUGCACUGGGUGGAUGAGUGGCGAACGGGUGAGUAAUAAGUGAGUAACCUGCCCUUGACUCUGGGAUAAGCCUGGGAAACUGGGUCUAAUACUGGAUACGACAUGUCACCGCAUGGUGGUGUGUGGAAAGGGUUUUACUGGUUUUGGAUGGGCUCACGGCCUAUCAGCUUGUUGGUGGGGUAAUGGCUCACCAAGGCGACGACGGGUAGCCGGCCUGAGAGGGUGACCGGCCACACUGGGACUGAGACACGGCCCAGACUCCUACGGGAGGCAGCAGUGGGGAAUAUUGCACAAUGGGCGGAAGCCUGAUGCAGCGACGCCGCGUGAGGGAUGACGGCCUUCGGGUUGUAAACCUCUUUCAGCACGGAAGAAGCGAAAGUGACGGUACGUGCAGAAGAAGCGCCGGCUAACUACGUG
rnacentral:rRNA from 1 species